AUGGCGGCGCCCAUGGCGAGCGCGGGAACGGGUGAGGGAGGCGGGGAGCCCCGGGCGGGACCGGGAACGGGAACGGGAACGGGAACGGGACCCGGAACGGGAACGGGACCCGAGCGGCGCCUCCCUCUCCCCUCAGGGCCGCGGCCGGGGCGGCGCUGAGCGCGGGGGGCGCGGAGCCGGUACCGGGCAGGCGGAGCUGGGAGCGCCCGGGAAUGGCGGAGGGGCCGGGACGGGCCAGGGGUGCCCGGGCCCGGAGCAGCUCCCCAGAUCCCAUCGAGGACGUGCUCGGGGAGCUCCUGGGAUCCGAUGGUAACGGGGGAGGUGACCUGGGGGGGUUACCUGGGGUCACCUGGGAAUUACCUGGGGUCACUUGGGGUCACCUGCGGAGGGUCACCUGGAGGGAAUCGCUUUGGGGGGGCUCACCUGGGAGUCACCUGGGGUCAUCUAGGGGUCACCUGGGGUCACCUGGGAAUUACUUGGGGUCACCUGUGGAGGGUCACCUGGAGGGAAUUACCUGGGAUCACCUGGGAAUCCCCUGGGGUCACUUGCUUGGGCUCACCUGGGAAUCCCCUGGGCGGGAAUCCCUU
rnacentral:lncRNA from 14 species